rnacentral:rRNA from 1 species
ACGUGGGCAACAUGCGUGUAUGACUUCUAUAACUCCGGGAAACCGGGGCUAAUACCGGAUAAUUCUUUCCCUCACAUGAGGGGAAGUUGAAAGAUGGAUUCAGCUAUCACUUACAGAUGGGCCCGCGGCGCAUUAGCUAGUUCGUGAGGUACCGGCUCCCCAAGGCAACGAUGGGUAGCCGACAUGAGAGGGUGAUCGGCCACACUGGGACUGAGACACGGCCCAGAGUCCUACGGGAGGCAGCAGUAGGGAAUCUUCCGCAAUGGACGAAAGUCUGCCUGAGCAACGCCGCGUGAGUGAUGAAGGUUUUCGGUUCGUAAAACUGUGUUGUUAGGGAAGAACAAGUACCGGAGUAACUGCCGGUACCUUGACGGUACCUAACCAGAAAGCCACGGCUAACUACGUGUCAGCAGCCGCGGUAAUAUGUAGGUGGCAAGCGUUGUCCGGAAUUAUUGGGCGUAAAGCGUGCGCAGGCGGUUCCUUAAGUCUGAUGUGAAAGCCCCCGGCUCAACCGGGGAGGGUCAUUGGAAACUGGGGAACUUGAGUGCAGAAGAGAAGAGUGGAAUUCCACGUGUAGCGGUGAAAU